UCAGAGUCAAGAAACUGGACCACUGAUCAUUUUGCUUUCGGAGCAAUGUCCAAUGAAUCCGCAAGUCAUUGAAAGACUGGUCAAAUUUUCACGCGAUCUUCUAUUUUUCAAAGUUGAGUUUUCGGCGUGGGGUACUUUGCCGCUAGACCGGAAUCUUUUAGGAAUCGUUUGUGGCACUGUAACGACGUUUGUAGUUAUCAUUGUGGCGUAAAAUUCCAAAAUUAUUCUGUUAACACUGUAUUGCAAAAACUUAUCAAACGUAUUAAUCGUUCCACAAUUACAUAAAAGUAUGUUUUACCUGAUAACUAUCUGUCAACUAUUCAAAUUGAAUUGUUGAGUGAUAAAUAAAGUAAUUUAUAAAUAGCUAUUUAUACAUUGUUGUUUACUAAUCCGAUCAAGAUACUUUAAAACAUG